UCGGUGCGGCUGGGCCCCAGGAGGGAGCCGCGCGCCGGAGCAUCUUCUGGCCUCGGUGGGAGGCAGCCCUUCCCCCGCGCCCUGCUCCGCUGGGCCCCAGUCUGCACCGCUGUGUGCCCUCACCUGUGUCCGCACCGACCGGAUUGCGCCGCUGCCCCUUUGCACAGGGUGUCUCCCCGCUCCGCCAGCGCCCUGCGACCUCAGCUCGUGUCGCAGCCUGAGCCGCGGCCCCCCUCUCCUGGCCUCCACAAAUCAUUGUCCAGCCUGGAACCUCUCUCUCCGUAGGAUUUAUCUUCCAAAUUAUAUAAUUUAAUUUUUUAAUCGUAUCCAUCGUGUGCCUCUCGUCCUGCCUUAAGCUCCACUAGGGGAAGGAUCUCUUGUUUUGUUCGCCGCAACCCCGGAUGCUACAACAGGGACCGGCACACAGAAGGAGAGACUUAGUUAUAUUUUGAGAAUAAGCCAGAAGAGCUAGCAAGAUUCAAGAAAUAAGGGAGAGUAUGUGUGAGUUAGCAAAGCCUGGACCUAGAGGAAAAGGAAAAGUCUGUGGAACUUAAAUUGGAAGAUCAGAGAGAGGGAAGAGGAUAUAUGGACAUAACAUUGAAUUCCGAGACAAAAUAACUGGUGUAGCAGCCACGGGGACCGUGUGGCUCAGAUCUCCCUUGGCGAAAGAAUCUGCCAUUCAACUACUGGUGUGCAGGCAGCUGUCAGCCUCCAGUUACAUCACCUUUGGGAUCCAUUACAGUGUCAGAGUCAGAAACAGGACUGUUUGGACGUCCUGCAGAACAUCCCUUUCAUCUGUUGAUGUCAUCAUGCUGAUCAGUCGGGAUGAGGAGUAGUUUGCAUACUCUAAGCCUCAGAAGACCCAUCUGCUCCAGAGGAGUGUGGAAGAUAAUCACAACAAAGAUUCGGGGGCCUACCACGUCAAAACCACAGUGAAGUUUUCAGGAAUCCAGUGUUCAAGGGAUGUGCCAGGACAUCUCCAAAGUAAAAGACAAAUUGUUGCAUCUUGUAUCUCUUACAACAAAGAAGGAAUCACAGCACUUCAGAGGCUUCCUCAUAUUGUGAAGGCAACACAUUCUAUUCUAGAAACACUGCUCUGGCCCAUACACCAGGUGCCACACAAGAUGGCCAGUUCUGAGUGGGGCCUGGGGCAGGAAAGGAGUAGCCCCACUGUCUUAGUUCAUGCUGCAAAAACAAAAUACCACCAUCUGGAUGGCUUAUAAACAAUAAACAUUUAUUUCUCACAGUUCUAGAGACUAGGAAGUCUAGGAUCGUGGUGCCAGUAAGUUUGGGGUUUGGUAACUGCUUCCUGGCACAUAGAUGGCUGUCUUUUCACUGUGUUCUCCCAUGGCAGAAGGAGGAGUGGGCUUUACUUGGUCCUCUUCUUGUAAGGACACUGAUCCCAUUCCCAAAGGCUCCGCCCUCAUGACCUAAUUACCUCCCAAAGGCCCCACUUCUAACACCAUUAUGUUGGGUAGUAAGAUUUCAGCGUAUGAGUUUUGGAGGGAUGCAAACAUUCAGACCAUAGACCCACUUACCAUCACUCUCAGUGACCUAUUGGGGGACUUUGUGUUUCCUGUUCCUGCAGCUCUGAGCUCUGCAGGAUUAGAACUUCUAAUUCACAAAGGGGCAUACUCUUUCCAGAAGGAUCCCAUUAAAUUACAAACCAUGGCUGCCACCUAGGCACCCUGGACUCCUUAUAUAUGUACAGGGAGCAUAGGGUAGGGCAAGAAACUACUGUGUUAUCAGGGGUAAUUGACCCUAAUCAGGGAAGAGAUAGGACUGCUCUUACAAAGCUGGGACAGGACAGGGGCACCUGGGUGGUUCAGAAGGUCGAGCGUCCAACUUUGUUUGGCUCAGGUCAUGAUCUCGCAGUUC